CACGCUGAAGUUUCAGGACUGGAACGUUUUUACUUCCGGUUCACUUGACGUACGUACGCAACCUUUGUGGACCCAUCUGGGACUUGCUGUUCUUUCGUGUUCCCUUCUCAUAGCCAAACGACCUCCUUCAAAACAUUUUCUUUGAAUGCGACAAUUACCACUGACUGAAGGGAGGCCAACGCAAUCCCGAACAUCAAAGAGUAGAGACGUGGAAAAUAAGGAGAGGAAAUCCAAGUGACGACGAACAACUGAACAACAAAAGGAAAUGAAGGCAUGCCACUCCGAAAAGCAUUUUCGUCCUGGAAUUCGAAACAGGGCGACAUCACACAGCCCACACUUCCAUGGGGUGUUGGUCCUCUUUCCACCAUUCCAUUUUCAUUUCACUUUACUUUCAUUGUCACUAUAAAUGUACAUGAAAAAAAGUCAGUAUUUAUGAAAAUAAUAAAGUAUAAAAUAAAAAUAUAUACAGCAAUAAAUAAUAAUGGAAAUCUAUAUGUAUGACAAUAGAAAGAAUACCAUAGCUGAAUAUGUGCUACAUCCCUAAUCUUCAUAUAGAAAGAAGAUCACCACAAUUAUAAAUUCCUGCCUUGGAUACACACAGUUCACGUACGACUUUGAUCUGAUAUGCACAUUUUAUUAUUAUAUACACAAACACACACUUAUAUUGCAUCAAAAUUAACUUUGUCUUGCAAUAUCAAAAGAAACUUUCAAAAGAAACUUUUUCCAGCCUAAAAAAAAAAAAGUGAGUUUGCUUACCUCUGCUCGUCGAUGGCGUCACCCACGUGUUCAAAUACGUCACUAUCUUGACUCGAGGACUCUUCCGAAGAAGACGAUGAUGACGAAUUUGGACCAUCCUCUUCCUCAAGUUGAUCAAAUAGCACAAUUGCUUGCGCUAAAUUUAGUUUUCCGUUCAUUCUCAAAGUCACACAAAGUCGCUGCUCGAUCCAAACGGCCGUCGGCUCGCCACCUCGCUGCUUCAGAACACUCCUCCCUCUCGUUCGGUGGAACCUCGCAUGGCAGUUAUUUUUUUUUCAUUCAUUCAUUCAUUCAUUUUCCAUGCCGCUUAUUCCUCACGAGGGUCGCGGAGGUGCUGGAGCCUAUCCCAGCUGACUUCGGGCAGUAGGCAGGGGACACCCUGAAUUGGUUGCCAGCCAAAUCGCAGGGCACAAGGAGACACACAACCAUUCACGCACACACUCACACCUAUGGACAAUUUAGAGUGUUCAAUCAGCCUACCAUGCAUGUUUUUGGGAUGUGGGAGGAAACCGGAGUUCCCGGAGGAAACCCACGCAGGCACGGGGAGAACAUGCAAACUCCACACAGGAAGGCCGAAGCCCGGGAUUGAACCCUUGCAUGGCAGUUAUAUUUAUUUAAAAAACGCAUUUUGUGCUUCCACUGUGACUUCGAAAGGGUUCGUUUGAUUUGUGUUUUUUUCAUGGAGCUUCCGUUUUGAAAAAGGACAAGAAAUGAUGGAAAUAUAGACACAAACAAAUGAUCCAUGCAGCGUUUUAAUGUUUUUUUGAGAGGACAAUAAAACUAUAAAACUUAAAUGACAAUAUCUCACGCUUUAAUUGGUCGAUUGACUUCAAAUAAUAACGAGAGUAAACCGCAACUUCCGCACUUUAAAACGAGAUCAACCAACGGCAUGUGGGUGACGUAUUUAAAACGUGAGGGAGCUUCAAAGACGACGUGCGCUGAGGACGCGCAGGCGCGUCCUUCGACUCUCAAGGGUUAAUAUAUCAAGCCAUAAUCAAUGUUAGAUCAGUAAACCAGCGAGCACUGUUUAGCAUGCUCAGUGCAAAAUAACCUCACACUAUUGCAAAGGAGCCAAUAAACCGUACAGCAAAAAUAUAAACUGUCCCUCUGUCCAAUGACAGUGUCGUUUUUUCUCUCCAAUCAUUACUGUUCUUUCAAUGUACUCGUGAGUUAACGUUGCUAAUUGAUUUGAAUGUAUUGUUUUUUUAUUUUUUUAUUUUAUUCAAUUUUAUUUUUCAGUACCAAAUGGUAUAAAAAUUUACCUUGAGUGAAUUUUUAGUUUAGAUGUGACUUUUUAACUCAGGCAAACUUGAUGCGCUUUAGGUCUUUUCUGUUACAGACAAAACAAUGUUAAUAAAGUUGUACUUCAUUGUGAGUUAAUUUGUACUUUUCUUCAAUAGAAAAAAAACACAAUAUUAUGCAGAGGUGUACUUUAUAAUAAUAAUAAUAAUUUUAUAAACAUGAUACUGUUUACAGUGUCGGCAUAGGGCUGGGGGGGUGAAACAUUUAUGUCUUCCUGGGGAAGGGCGUCACAGAAAAUAAUUGAGAAGCACUGCGUUAGCAUAGCAUAUCGAUCACUUUUUUUUCUGUGUGUUUGUGGAGUCUAGUUGGGUAUUAUUCAUUGAAUAUAAUGUACUGUUUUCUUGCUGAGUGUGUAUUUUCACCAAGUUGACGUAUUUCCUGUGGACACAAAAAUAUGUGCUCGUCUCUCAAUGUUCGUUCAAAAUAGUUGGAAACCAUUAUUUAUUUUUGGAAAAAAUAGACGAAAUACAGAACGGCCACUUUUCAUCGUAAAUUUCUCGAGCCUCCAGGGUCGUCGAGAAGGCGCAAUUUGAUGAUUUCCACCAUAUUAAAAAAAAAAAAAAAAUCCCAAUAAAAACUCAUUGGGAUAAUAUUUAAAAGGUACUGUAAAAAUGGUCUUGAAAGUUCUUUUAAAAGAGCUUGAAUUUGGGCAUUAAAAACGUUACGAACCCUGCCACUAAAAUGCAGGGGUGAGUAGAGUAGCCAAAAAUUAUACGCAAGUAAUUGUAACGUUACUUCCAGAUAAUAUUACUCAAGUUUCAAGUAAAACUAGGCCUGCAAGCAGGACUGAACGGGCCCUCGCACUUUGGCGCAACUUGGACGUCACGCAGGUCGGGGUGGUGGCAGACAGCCCCCUUCUAAUCAUCCAGUGAGAACCUAACAUGCUUUAAACUCGCUUCUUUUUCUGGGAUGAGAAAUUGUUUUGAGUUUUCGAGCAUGCAGUGACCACAAAUUCUGCUGCCACUAGUUGGCGCUACAGAGUCGAUGCAAAUUACCACUACUGGACUCUUCAGGGUAAGACUCUCACCAAGCAUGGGAAGUUUGGAGAAGAUAUCAUUUAUAUCUGCCAAGUUAUGACUGUUCAAAAUGUGUGAAGAGACAGAAUGGUGACAGUCAUUAUCACUUUCUUGUUGGACCCUUCUGCUUCAACCAAACCUCAAUCAUUUUCAUCAGGCAUCUGAACACAUGUCUUAAGGCUCCCCUUAUGCAGGUUUGAGAUAGAUUUUUUCCCUUUAGAGGAGGAGUGUGUCCUGUAAAAAAGGGCAUUUCCUGUUCCCACUAGGAGGCGCCAGGCACAAAUGGUAAAUUUUCAAUCCAGUCCUCCUCAGGCUGGGAUGCCUCACACACAUGCCAGAUUUAAAAUAGAUUGAACGUUGUAUGAGGGAGUUAUCAGUAAUUUUCCGAAUUCGGUGUUUUGCCGAAAAAAUGGCCGACUUUGGCACCCCGGCCAGGUCAGGCCCGUGAAUGAAAACACCAUUUUGAUAACUUAAGAUUUCAUAUGCCUCAUGAACAGUCUCGCCAAUUUUGAGGAUGAUCAAACAAAUUCCCUAGGUGCCAAGGUCUCAAAUGUGCACACUGUAAAUCGAUAAAAAUUUCACAUUCAAUCCAAAAUACCCAAUUUCCUGUUGGGUUUGGAAAGCGCGUAAAGGAGACUUUUUGGAGCAGUUUUGUACAAGGUAUCGACUCUCCGAAUUUCAUCCUUUUACGUUGAAAAAACCUAAAUGGAGAGGCCUUUUUGGAAAAAUUCAAGGGGGCGCCACUGUGCCAUUUUGUUACAUGUUUUCGAAACGUUGCAAGAUUAUCGAACGUUACGCAAUGCGGCAUGUAUGUGCAAAUUUUGGUGAGUUUUCGUGCAUGUUCAAGCCUCCAAAUGUAAACUCCUAAUGUGAACCGAUAAAAAUUUCACAUUCGAUCCAAAAUACCCGAUUUCCUGUUGGAUUUGGAAUAUGGAUGCAAGAGGCUUUUUGGAGCAGUUAGGCAUAAGGUAUCUACUCCACAAAUUUCAUCGCUCUACGUUGAAAAAACCCAGUAGGAGAGGCCUUUUUUAAAACUUCUUUCUGUCGCCACUAGUUAGCACUGUAGAGUUGAUGCAAACGACCCCUACAAGACUCUUCAAGGUAUGACUCUCAACAAGCACGGGAAGUUUGGCGCAGAUAUGUUGUGUAUCUGCCGAGUUAUGACUGUUCAAAGUUUUGGGCGAGACAAAUAGUUGACGGUCAUUUUCACUUCUGGUUUGGACCUCUCCGCUUCGACGAAACCUCAAUAUUUUUCAUCAGGCACCUGAACACAUGUCUUGAGGCUCCCCUGAAACAGCUUUUAGGUCAAUAGAUUUUUUUACCUUGGAGGAGGAGCCUGUCUCGUAAAGAAGGCCAUUUCCUGUUCCCACUAAGGGGCGCCAGGCCUAAUGGGUAAUAUUUCAAUGCAGUCGUGUUCAGGCUGGGAUAGCUCAUAUACAUGCGAGAAAUGAAAAAGAUUGAACGUUGUAUCACAGAGUUUUUAAAUCAUUUUCUGAAUUUGGUGUUUUGCCCAAAAAUGGCCGACUAUGGGACCACACCCAGGUCAGACCCUUGAAUGAAAACUCUUUUAACAUUUCAAACAUUUUGAAAACUUAAGAUCUCAUAUGUCUCCUGAAUAGUCUGACCAAUUUUGAAGACGAUCCAACUAUUUCCAUCAGUGACAAGGUCUCAAAUGUAAAUCGAUAAAAUUUCACAUUUGAUCCAAAAUGUCCGACUUCCUGUUGGGUUUGGAAUAUGGGUGCAAGAGACUCUUUGGAGCAGUUUUGCACAAUGUAUCGACUCGCCAAAUUUCAUUGUUCUACGUUGAAAAAACCUAAGAGGAGAGGCCUUGUAUAAAAUUUCAAGAGGGCGCCACUGAGCCAUUUUGUUAACAUUUUUUCAUAGAUUAUCAAAAUUUACGCAAAGUUGCUUGUAUGUGCACAUUUUGGUGAGUUUUCGUGCAUGUUCAGGCCUCCAAAUGUAAACUCCAACUGUGAACCGAUGAAAAUUUCACAUUUGAUCCAAAAUACCCGAUUUCCUGUUGGGUUUGGAAUAUGGGUGCAAGAGGCUUUUUUGAGCAGUUAGGCAUAAGGUAUCUACUCCCCAAAUUUCAUCGCACUACGUUGAAAACCUGAGAGGAGAGGCCUUUUUGAAAAUUUUAAGGGUCAAGGGGGCUCCACUGAGCCAUUUUUUGACAUUUUUUUGUAACGACGCAAGAUUAUUGAAAUUUACGCGUGCAAAUUUUGGUGACUUUUCGUGCAUGUUCAGGCCUCCAAAUUGGCCAUUUUCACUUGCCCUGAAAAAAGAAUAAAAUAAUAAUAAUCCUUUGAAAAACAAUAGGGCCUUCGCACGCUUAGUGCUCGGGCCCUAAUAAUAAUAAUCCUUUGCAAAACAAUAGGGCUUUCGCACGCCUAGUGCUCGGGCCCCAAUAAUCCUUUGCAAAACAAUAGGGCCUUCGCACGCUUAAUGCUCGGGCCCUAAUUAGUCAUCCAAAAAUUUACUCAAGUACAAGUAAAAAAGUAUUCGUUGAAAAGAAUACUCAAGUAAUAAGUACCAUUGUGAGUAACUGCGAAGAAUAUGAAUUUUUGUGAAAUAUAUUUUUUUUCUCAGCAUAACGUCUGAAUGGGGAAAAAACACCUGUAACCUUUUGAUGACCUUUCUUGUGAUCUUGUGACCUUUUUUGUGACCCGAUUGAUCCAUAUAUGUAUAACUACACACAUAUAAACAUAACUGCUUUUAACUGCGCCAUAACUGUCUUUGGGAAGAGUAACUAACUGUGUGCUCUAGGUGCACACAUUCUUUUGGACUGACUGUUACUUCUUCUUAUCAGCUUAUUUUCGCCAUUCUGUCGCAGUUCAGCUCAUUACUAUGGUAACCAGGAUAUUUGAUGCUUCUAAAGAGAUACAACGAGUGAACCAAUUAUAUUUGGACACGAGACUCAUCUCCUUAAGAGGUUGAGCAAAACAUGCUAAAUUUACCAUGUUUGGGCAGGCCGUAUGUCUCCUGAGGGCAGGGGUCGGCCCCCUCUGUUCUCAUGUGACAUAUGCCUAUAAAGAGCGGACUUUUCCGGGCCACACCUAGGGUCGGUCGUAGGAUUCUACGCGUCAGUCGCUCGGCCGGAGUUCCUUGAUUGCUCAGACCAGGAACGUGUGUGUGGCCCUCCCUUCAUUGUCGACAGAGUCCCGCAGACGUCACUGUAGAAGAACUUCACCCUGAGAAGCACAAUCCCGUCCACGUUAAACAGAAGGAGGAGCCUGACAUGCCGUUGAUCAAACAGGAGGCGGAGCCAGAGACCUCUGACAUCAAAGAAGAAAAACAGGAAAUUGAAAUCCUCAAGUUUCCAAUGGGUGUCGGUGUGAAGAGCGAAGAAGACGAAGGACCAAGUGAAGAGAGCAGAGCAGCGAACCCUUUGAGCGACAGCUCAUUUCAGCACCAGACAACAAAAGGAGAGCAACCGGACGGCCUCUUAGCUCCGCUUUCGGACAGUGAUGACUUAACAUCACAUUCUUCUGACUUUAAUACAGAUAAGGAGGUUGAUGACUUUGACCAAAAUGCUUCAAAAUCCUUAGACAAGUCAUCAUUUAAAAGAGACGCAAAGGAAGGCGUGGUUGGGAAACGUUUUCGCUGCUCACUUUGUGAUAAAACAUUUCCUUGUAAACGCUACUUAAAGGCACACAUGCGUAGACACACUGGAGAGAAGCCUUUUGCGUGCACACUUUGCGAUAAAAAAUACUCCACAAAUGAAAAUUUAACCUAUCACACAAGAACACACACUGGAGAGAAGCCUUUUGCCUGCACACUUUGCGAUAAAAGAUUUUCUCAGAAGACUAAUUUAAAAAUACAUAAACGCUCACACACUGGAGAAAAGCCUUUUGCAUGCUCACUUUGCGGUAAAAGUUUCGCACAUCAGGGACAUUUAAACAUUCACAAAAGAACACACACUGGAGAGAAACCUUUUGCCUGCACAUUUUGUGGUAAAAGAUUCACCCGUAAGGAAGAGUUAAACAUUCACACAAGAACACACACUGGAGAGAAACCUUUUGCCUGCACACUUUGCGAUAAAAAAUAUUCCACCAAGGCGAAAUUAAACAUACACAAAAGAUCACACACUGGAGAGAGGCCUUAUGCCUGCACACUUUGUGAUAAAAAAUACUUUACGAAGGAAAAUUUAAACUAUCACACAAGAACACACACUGGAGAGAAGCCUUUUGGCUGCACACUUUGUGAUAAAAAAUACUUCACGAAGGAAAAUUUAAACAUUCACACAAGAACACACACUGGAGAGAAACCUUUUGCCUGCACAUUUUGUGGUGAAAGAUUCAUCGAGAAGGGUUGUUUAAAGAAACACACAAGAACACACACUGAAGAGAAGCCUUUUGCCUGCACAUUUUGUGGUAAAAGAUUCACCCGUAAGGGAGAUUUCAACAAACAUGCAAGAACACACACUGAAGAGAAGCCUUUUGCCUGCACAUUUUGUGGUAAAAGAUUCACCCGUAAGGAUGAUUUAAACAUUCACACAAGAACACACACUGGAGAGAAACCUUUUACCUGCACACUUUGUGGUAAAAAAUUCUCCACGAAGAAAAAAUUAAACAUUCACACAAGAACACACACUGGAGAGAAGCCUUUUGCCUGCACACUUUGCGAUAAAAGAUUUUCUCAGAAGAAUAAUUUAAAAAUACAUAAGCGCUCACACACUGGAGAAAAGCCUUUUGCAUGCUCACUUUGUGGUAAACGAUUUGCUCAGAAAGGACAUGUAGUAAGCCACGCAAGUAGCCACACUGAGAAAAAACCUUUGAAUUCUAGCGUGUGACAAGAUAUUCUGAUUCCUGCAUUUACAAUGGAAAAAAGCAUUUAAAUUUCAUUAUUCGGUUUCUCACGAGCCUCUUUUGAAAAAGUUGUUCAUGAUUUUUCAGGUGCUGUUCUUUUUUCAACUAUCCUAUUUCCUAUAUGGCAGAAAACACAGACAAGGUUGAAAUGGCAGUUUCUGCUCUUGCACCCCACUUUAAAAUAAACUAGUGUAUUCAAAGCCAAAACAACUGUUGUGUUUGAUAGAACAAUAUAUCUAUAUGCUGCCAUAGCAGAAUCAUGGCGCAUUAGGCCCCCAAACUAUUUUUAAUAUGUUUGUUUUACCCUGGAAAGCCCCGUUUACAGAUGUUGUGCAACUGCUUUUGUUUCAACCCAGCCAGUUAAAGAAGGUAAGUAAUUAGAUUUAUUAUUCGAAAUGUCAUUUGUAGCUUAGAAUCAUUAAUUGAUGUCUAAUAUUUGGUGAAAAAAAUAAACGACUUUAAAAAAUUGUUCACUUGGAUAUUUUAAACUUUUCAACAAAUUUUGUAACAAUGAAAAAAUGGGUGUCUGUAAAUCAGUCACAGAUAUCUACCUUUUAACUGUUGCUUAAUUGUAUUUUUUUUUUUUUUUUUUUGAUAGUCACAUUUUCUCCGAUAUGUUAGAUGAUGAAUAAUCGAUCCAAACAAAAAUGGGGGGGGGGGGCAUUUAGAAGGGGAACUAUAUGGAAAAGAAAAUCUCUACCACUCCUUUAUGUCUGCGAUAUCUGCAUCGCGACCCUUAUUAUAUUACCAUGUUUCACCCAUUGGUACAGUACAUUGAAUAAAGUCAGUGGAUACAUUUACAAAAUAUUUAAAUUCUGAGCCUUCAAAUUGAGGGAUUUAUAGUGAUGACUAGAAUUCGGAUAUGUUGAUCAUAUUUAUUGAAUAUUGUUUUUGACUCCAGUGAUCAGGUGAAGUGAUGGAAUUUCCAAACGCUUGAUCGUCUUGACGCUGAAGUUUCAGCACUUGAACGUUUCUACUUCCGGUUCACUUGACGUAACCUCUAUGUACUCAUCAGGGUCUUGCUGUUCUUUCGUGUUCCAUUCUCCAAAUCAAACGACCUCCUUCAAAGCAAUUUAAUUGGAUGCGACAAAUUACUACUGACUGGUGGCCAACGCAAUCCCAAACAUCAAGUCAAAGAGUAGAAAUGAGAAGAGGAUAUCCAGGGUACGACGAACAACUGAAAAACAAGGAAAUGAAGAAUCCCGCAGACGUCACUGUAGAAGAACUUCACCCUGAGAAGCACAAUCCCGUCCACGUUAAACAGAAGGAGGAGCCUGACAUGCCGUUGAUCAAACAGGAGGCGGAGCCAGAGACUUCUGACAUCAAAGAAGAAAAACAGGA